GAUGAACGCUGGCGGCGUGCUUAACACAUGCAAGUCGAACGAAGCACUUUAUUUGAUUUCCUUCGGGACUGAUUAUUUUGUGACUGAGUGGCGGACGGGUGAGUAACGCGUGGGUAACCUGCCUUGUACAGGGGGAUAACAGUUGGAAACGGCUGCUAAUACCGCAUAAGCGCACGGCAUCGCAUGAUGCAGUGUGAAAAACUCCGGUGGUAUAAGAUGGACCCGCGUUGGAUUAGCUAGUUGGUGAGGUAACGGCCCACCAAGGCGACGAUCCAUAGCCGACCUGAGAGGGUGACCGGCCACAUUGGGACUGAGACACGGCCCAAACUCCUACGGGAGGCAGCAGUGGGGAAUAUUGCACAAUGGGCGAAAGCCUGAUGCAGCGACGCCGCGUGAGCGAAGAAGUAUUUCGGUAUGUAAAGCUCUAUCAGCAGGGAAGAUAAUGACGGUACCUGACUAAGAAG
rnacentral:rRNA from 1 species